rnacentral:tRNA from 1 species
GGGCAUUUGGUCUAGUGGUAUGAUUCUCGCUUUGGGUGCGAGAGGUCGUGGGUUCGAUUCUCGCAAUGCCCC